rnacentral:pre_miRNA from 1 species
CUCGGGGGGGGGGGGUCCUUCAGCCUGGGUUGCAAAAGGGCACAGACCAUGCCGAGGGACCCCAUCAGUGCACA